UACGGAGGGUGCAAACGUUGCUCGGAAUCAUUGGGCGUAAAGCGCACGUAGGUGGCUUGUUAAGUCGGGUGUGAAAUCCCUGGGCUCAACCCAGGAAGUGCACUCGAAACUGGCGAGCUUGAGUACUGAAGAGGGUCGCGGAAUUCCCGGUGUAGAGGUGAAAUUCGUAGAUAUCGGGAGGAACACCAGUGGCGAAGGCAGCCCCCUGGGAUAACACUGACGCUCAUGCACGAAAGCGUGGGGAGCAAACAGG
rnacentral:rRNA from 1 species